GACGAACGCUGGCGGCGUGCUUAACACAUGCAAGUCGAACGGAGUGGCGAACGGGUGAGUAACACGUGGGUGAUCUGCCUUGCACUCUGGGAUAAGAUUGGGUGAAUGGGUCUAAUACCGGAUAGUGCAAGAUGAGCUCGCGGCCUAUCAGCUUUUGGGGGGGGUAAUGCCCUACAAAGGCGCCGACGGGUAGCCGGCCUGAGAGGGUGUACGACCAACUUGGGACUGAGAGACGGCCGAGACUCCUACGGGUGGAAGCAGUGGGGAAUACUGCACCAGGGGCGGAGGCUGGAUGCAGAGACGCCGCGGGUGGGAUGACGGCUUUCGGGUUGUAAACGCCUUUCGACAGGGACGCGGUACCUGGAGAAGAAGCACCGGCUAACUACGUGCCAGCAGCCGCGGUAAUUC
rnacentral:rRNA from 1 species